AAGUUAAAAAAUAGAGCAUCGAAAAAAAGGGCAAAGACGUUUCAAAUAAACUUUCAAUGACAGUGGCCAAGAAUUGAGAGCAUUCAAACAAGAUUUAUACUUUCAGGGACUGCGGCCAAACCCCUAGAGCACUUCAACAAUUUAAGAGACCAAAAUGCAUCGGUUGGAUUCUGCCCAAGCGCUGGAACAAUAGAAUGAUUGUGCACGGAUCUGAAAAUUGAGAUAAUGGAUGUCAAACUCCUAAUGUUUGUUUGGAAGAUGCGAGCUGUACGGCAGGGAUAUUUUACUUUGGAGGAGUGGCAUAGAGGCCUUCAAUCAUUGAAAGUCAAUACCAUUGAUAAGUUGAAGAAUUCACCUCCUGCAUUAGAGCAAGAGGUGAAGGGGUUCUGUGUUUAAGAAACUCUUUCUGAAUUUACAAACCUUCCAAGAAUGUCAAAUAUGUAUAUGAGUUCACACAGGAAGUCAUAUAUAUAGGCAUGUAAAAAUGUUGAAUCUGGCUCAUUCCUUAAGUGGAGUAAUAUGUUUUGUUCCCAGUCUGAUUAUUUUACUGUAUUGAACAUUGUUAAGGUUAUGCAUUCCCAAAACUUCUGGGACUUUUAUACUUGCUCUUUCCUGUACUGUCUGAUAGGUAUUUACUUCCUAAUUUUUCAGUGUCUCAUCUCAUUCAAAUAUUCAGUUUAGUUUUCUUUGUUUUCAUAACCUUUUUGCAACAUGUUUUAUCAUACAGAAGAUGGACAAAAAUAUCUGGACAUAGAAAGUGUCUGUGUGAGUUACUAAAGCUGGGCGUCCCUCAAAUACAGAGAGCACGUCAAAGCUCAAUAACAUUAUUUGAAAUGCACUACUUUUCAUCUUGUAUCUUCAAGUUUGCUUUCAUAUUUCAUGUGAUUUGUCUCCAGUCUGCUUUUUGACUGAAGUAACAUUAUUUCAAUGCAUCGUUUUUCAUCUUAUAUCUUGUAUCUUGAAGUUUGCUUUCAUUUUUCCUGUGAUUUGUCUGCAGUUGUUUUUUUACUGAAGUUUGUUCAUGUUUUUAGAACCAGGAGGAUUGUAAAGCCAUUAUUCUUGACCAGUGGUAGUGUUUUCUAAGCUUUUCUAAUAAGAUCAAUUAUCCAAGCUUUGAUAUUUAUGAUUCAUCUCAUGCAUGGCCUUUGCUUUUGGAUGAUUAUGUUGAAUGGGCACAAAAGAGGUUGAGAUGAGACAACCACUACUUAGCACUAACCAGAUGCAUAUAUUGCUUUUGCUUCUGAAACUCAGUUAUAAAGAAUUAAAGAUUACUUAUGGAA